GAUGAACGCUGGCGGCGUGCCUAAUACAUGCAAGUCGAGCGAACGGACGAGAAGCUUGCUUCUCUGAUGUUAGCGGCGGACGGGUGAGUAACACGUGGAUAACCUACCUAUAAGACUGGGAUAACUUCGGGAAACCGGAGCUAAUACCGGAUAAUAUUUUGAACCGCAUGGUUCAAAAGUGAAAGACGGUCUUGCUGUCACUUAUAGAUGGAUCCGCGCUGCAUUAGCUAGUUGGUAAGGUAACAGCUUACCAAGGCAACGAUGCAUAGCCGACCUGAGAGGGUGAUCGGCCACACUGGAACUGAGACACGGUCCAGACUCCUACGGGAGGCAGCAGUAGGGAAUCUUCCGCAAUGGGCGAAAGCCUGACGGAGCAACGCCGCGUGAGUGAUGAAGGUCUUCGGAUCGUAAAACUCUGUCAUUAGGGAAGAACAUAUGUGUAAGUAACUGUGCACAUCUUGACGGUACCUAAUCAGAAAGCCACGGCUAACUACGUG
rnacentral:rRNA from 1 species